GAUGAACGCUGGCGGCGUGCCUAAUACAUGCAAGUCGAGCGAACAGACGAGGAGCUUGCUCCUUCGACGUUAGCGGCGGACGGGUGAGUAACACGUAGGUAACCUACCUAUAAGACUGGGAUAACUUCGGGAAACCGGAGCUAAUACCGGAUAAUAUUUCGAACCGCAUGGUUCGAUAGUGAAAGAUGGCUUUGCUAUCACUUAUAGAUGGACCUGCGCCGUAUUAGCUAGUUGGUAAGGUAACGGCUUACCAAGGCAACGAUACGUAGCCGACCUGAGAGGAGGAGAGGCGAAAAGGGAACGGAGACAAGGCGCAGACGCAUGAGGGAGGAAGAAGGAGGGAAGAGGGAACAAUGGGCGAAAGAAGGAGGAAGAAAUGCAGAGGGAAGGAAGAAGGCUUGAGGGUGGUAAAGCCUGUUUAGGAGGGAAGAAAAGAGGAGGGAGAAAAACGUCGAACAGUGAAGUGAAAGGAAGAAAAAGGAAGGGCGAAUUCCGGG
rnacentral:rRNA from 1 species